rnacentral:rRNA from 1 species
UACGUAGGAGGCGAGUGUUGUCCGGAUUUACUGGGCGUAAAGGGCGCGCAGGCGGCACACUAAGUACGAUGUGAAAUCUCCCUGCUCAACGGGGAGGGUGCAUAGUAAACUGGUGAGCUAGAGGACGGUAGAGGGGGGUGGAAUUGCUGGUGUAGCGGUGAAAUGCGUAGAGAUCAGCAGGAACACCCGUGGCGAAGGCGGCCCCCUGGGCCGAACCUGACGCUGAGGCGCGAAGGCUAGGGGAG